GUUUUUCUGUGCUGCUGUGGAGUUCUAGUAAAGAGAAACUAAAGCAAAUACGAAGCCUCCUGUCAUGUUAUAAAAUUAGCUAAUCUCCAGAAAUUGUCUGAUGACCUCUGAAGCAACUUAUGUACUUGCUUAUGUGAUGCAGGUUUAUUGCUCUUUUAACGUCAAGUCUUCCCAAGCUUUAAUACACACAGCGAGCCCAGUUAUAGAAAUACUGUUUGAAAUUAUGUCUUGUUGUUAGGAGGUAGUGUUUUAUGCUAGUCCAUUGCCAC